ACGCCAUUUCACACGGACUCGGCUAUUUGCGGUGGCUCCUACUGUAUAUGUGUAAGAUUUUUUAAGGCACUAUGGAAUGUCGAGGCUGACGUGGACACAGUGAAGCUCCAGGACUUAUCAUGGUGGAAUAUACAGUGAAUUAUAGCGUGAUAACGUUAUAAUUUUCAAUAAAUUUGCAACUGGACACAUUUAACAGUGAACUGUAUGUCAAUCAUCAACUGCCUGCAAAUCAUGUGAUUUAUACACCAGCUUUACAUCCUAAGCAGAAGAUUGUCAUUAAGAGGACGGACCUUGAUCUUCACUCAUUACCUGUGUUAAUGCCCCCUGUUAGAACUUGUUAUCAGUAUAAAAGACACAUAUUGAUAACCUCAAACAGUCACACUCCAAACUCCACUAUGGCCAAGACCAAAGAGCUGUCAAAAGACACCAGAAACAAAAUUGUAGAGCUGCACCAGGCUGGGAAUACUAACUCGGCAAUAGGUAAGCAGCUUGGUGUGAAGAAAACAACUGUGGGAGCAAUUAUUAGAAAAUGGAAGACAUACAAGACUAUUGAUAAUCUCCCCCGAUCUGGGGCUCCACGCAAGAUCUCAGCCCGUGGAGUGAAAAUGAUUACAAGAACUGUGAGCAAAAAUCCCAGAACCACACGGCGGGAACUAGUGAACGACCUGCAGAGAACUGGGAUUAAAGUAACAAAGACAACCAUCAGUAACACACUGCGCCGCCAGGGAUUCAAAUCCUACAGUGCCAAACCUGUCCCCCUGCUUAAGCCAGUACAUGUUCAGGCCCUGAAGUUUGAUAGAGAGCCUUUGGAUGAUCCAGAAGAGGUUAAAAAGUAUGGUUGACAGUUAUAAGUAAAAUACUGUCAAGAAAUAAGGAUAAAGGUUUAAAUUACCAUUCAGUUUGUUGGUCCAGAUGCCGAUAAUCGCAGAGUUGAAGACGAACGACUUCCUCGUGCAUCCUCUUCAGAAUAAAAGCUUCAUAAAUAAGUAAUGACAUUUGCAGCAAGUUCUGAAAAGUCUAAAGGACUGAAAAUGAUCUUUAUAAGGCGGAGUAUAGGGCUUAAAUCAAACUUCACUCAAGCACACACACAUGAAACACUUGCAUACACAU